rnacentral:rRNA from 1 species
CCUACGGGUGGCAGCAGUGGGGAAUAUUGGGCAAUGGGCGCAAGCCUGACCCAGCAAAGCCGCGUGAAGGAAGAAGGCUUCAGGGUCGUAAACUUCUUUUCUGAGGGACGAAGAAAGUGACGGUACCUCAGGAAUAAGCCACGGCUAACUACGUGCCAGCAGCCGCGGUAAUCCGUAGGUGGCAAGCGUUCUCCGGAUUUAUUGGGUGUAAAGGGCGUGUAGGCGGGAAAGCAAGUCAGAUGUGAAAACUCAGGGCUCAACCCUGGGCCUGGAUUUGAAACUGGUUUUCUUGAGUGCUGGAGAGGCAAUCGGAAUUACGGGGGUAGCGGUGAAAUGCGUAGAUAUACGGAGGAACACCAGUGGCGAAGGCGGAUUGCUGGACAGUAACUGACGCUGAGGCGCGAAAGCGUGGGGAGCAAACAGGAUUAGAUACCCUUGUAGUC